GCCUCGGUCGUAGUAGUGGUAACACGUGUACCCGACAUGUAUGGAACGCGGGUUCGACUCCCGUCUGAGACU